rnacentral:tRNA from 1 species
GCCGGAAUAGCUCAGUUGGUAGAGCARAGGACUGAMAAUCCUCGUGUCACCUGUUCAAAUACUG